UACCAGCACCCCGAGUGGUCGGGACGAUUAUUGGGCCUAAAGCAUCCGUAGCCGGUUCUACAAGUCUUCCGUUAAAUCCACCUGCUUAACAGAUGGGCUGCGGAGGAUACUAUGGAGCUAGGAGGCGGGAGAGGCAAGCGGUACUUAGUGGGUAGGGGUAAAAUCCAUUGAUCUACUGAAGACCACCAGUGGCGAAGGCGGUUUGCCAGAACGCGCUCGACGGUGAGGGAUGAAAGCUGGGGGAGCAAACCGG
rnacentral:rRNA from 1 species